UGUCCCACCCCCGCCGCCAGGCUUUCUCCCCAGCACAGCGCCACGGCCCUGCGACAGGAACACAGGCGUCUCCGCAAGGCAAGGCGCUGCCCCCCGGCGGGGGAGCGGCAAGGGGGCGUCUGGCUGCCGUGUUCUUGAUGAUCAACGUGGACACUGAAAAGAAGAAAGAUAAAUAUUCCCAAGUUGUUGUGCCGCAAAGCAUGCAUGCAAAGAGUUUCAAGACCUGCAUACUCACAGCAGAACAGUAGCAGCAGACAACUGUAGCUCUUUUACAGCGCAUUUUACAAGUAGUCCAAGGUCUUGGAAAAUGGAACUUCCAAGGCUUGAGAAGAUGGGAGGAAGCAGCAGGAUUGGAAAUGUUUCCACUUUUGGAGAUAAGUCUUGAGAGUACUAGGCUUUCUACUGGAUAAGAGAACUGACUGAACUCUACCUGAAAAGGUUAACUCCAUGCUGGGAGCCACUGAGGAGCCAUGCUCUCAGAUUCAGGGAGGAGGAGUUGGGAAGGAUGAAGGUCCCUGAGUUUUAUGUCAAGAGGUCCUUCAUGAUAUGAAGCCUGAAUGGUGUUAACCUUGAGAGGUGGAUGAGGUUUGAGCACCACACCUGUCUUGGCCAAGCAGGUGCUAUGAUGAUAGCUCUGUCUCCUUCUCAGCACAGCUUUAGGGCUAGCGGUAUAGGUGGGUAAGCAUAAAGAAGGGUACGGGGACAUGGUGUUAUUAGGGCAUCCAUAGGAGAGUUGUGACCAUAACCUCCCUUGGAGCCAAAUAGACAUUUUGCAUUGUUUGUGUUGGCGAAGAGAUCUACCCUGGUAUACCUCAGGUCAGGAAGAUGCUCUGGAAGACAGAGUUUUUGAGCUCCCAUUUAUGAUUUUGGCAGAAGUGUCUGCUUAAGCGGUUGCAAUUACAUUGUGGAGGCCUAGCAGAUAAACUGCUGAUUUCUAUCUGAUGAGAAAUGCACCAGUUCCACAACUUUAGUGAUACUGCACAUAAGGACUGGGAUCUUGCCGAACCCUGGCGGUUGAUGUAAUACAUCACUGCCCUGUUGUCCAGCAUUACUCUGAUUGGGUCAUCUCAUAUGGCCUAGAGGAAAAGUUGGCAAGCAUAUCCACUGUUCUUAGCUCCACGAUAUUGACAUGUAGUGCCAAUUCCUAUGCUGACCACUUGCCCUGUGCUUUGUCUCCCUGUAGGUGAGCUUCCCACCAUAACAGACACAUCUGUUAUGAGGGUCUUCAAAGAUGCUGGAUGUAUGAAUGGGAUUCAAACAGAGAUUUUCCACGGGUCUUUCCACCAUAUAGAGAGUACCUUCCCGAGACACUGACAUGUGUCUGGAGAAGAUUGUCUGACUGGGGUAUACACUACUCUUAGUCAUGUCUGGAGGAGAAGAGAAUAAACUUCUUGACUUAGGAGUUCCUCGUGAGAAGGGUCCAUGAAGGAGGACGGGGAGAGGAUUGGAAAGAGGGAUGAAAAGGAAGUGGAUAGAGUAACCCACUUUGACAUUCUCUAAUAUCUACUUGUCUGAGGCACAUAAAUCCCCACUGAUCGCAAUGCUGAUCUGGAAUUUUUGAGCAUCUGGAGAGAAGAGUCCAUAGUUUCACUGAAGAAUGGCUCUUUGAAUGGGAGAUUUUCCAUGGUAUUUUGAACUUCUGGAAGACCUGAGAACUGGAGCCAGUAUGCUUUUCUCAUGACCACCAUUGUGACAUGGACUUACAGAGGCUGUUUCAGCAGCAUCUAGAGUAGCUUGUAGGGAGGUUUUGCAACCAACUGUCCUUCAGCAAUGAUAGACUGAAAAUGAUCUUUCUGGUCUUGUGACAAGUUGCUCAAUAAAAUGUAUAUAUUUGGAGUA